UAGUGGCGAACGGGUGAGUAACACGUGGGCAAUCUGCCCUGCACUCUGGGACAAGCCCUGGAAACGGGGUCUAAUACCGGAUAACACUGUCCCCCUCCUGGGGGACGGUUGAAAGCUCCGGCGGUGCAGGAUGAGCCCGCGGCCUAUCAGCUUGUUGGUGGGGUAAUGGCCUACCAAGGCGACGACGGGUAGCCGGCCUGAGAGGGCGACCGGCCACACUGGGACUGAGACACGGCCCAGACUCCUACGGGAGGCAGCAGUGGGGAAUAUUGCACAAUGGGCGAAAGCCUGAUGCAGCGACGCCGCGUGAGGGAUGACGGCCUUCGGGUUGUAAACCUCUUUCAGCAGGGAAGAAGCGAAAGUGACGGUACCUGCAGAAGAAGCGCCGGCUAACUACGUGCCAGCAGCCGCGGUAAUACGUAGGGCGCAAGCGUUGUCCGGAAUUAUUGGGCGUAAAGAGCUCGUAGGCGGUCUGUCAC
rnacentral:rRNA from 1 species